ensembl:lncRNA
UGUGGAAAAGGUGCAGGGGGUAAUUCCGACAUUUUGGAGGCCAGGUCGAGAAACGGAUAUGGGCUGACGGACAGGUGGUUGCUGAAAAACACCCGAGUAGCAGCGGCGACGGACGUUUUCUCCGCGCUCAGCGAGUCCGUCAGCGCGUCACCGGAGUCUGACAGGAGUUUCCAUUCUCCUCCGAGGCGUUUGCUGAUCUCAGAGUUGUGCAUCUUCGGGUUGUCCAGUGCCAUCUUCCGUCUCUGGACUCUUGACCACACCAUAAAAGCGUUCAUGGGACGUUUAACAUGGUCCAUAGGCUUUGCCAUUUCUGAAAGUUUCCUCUGCUGCUCCUUUUUCAGUUCAGUCCAAAGGAAAGCAGCCCAAAGUUCCUUUGACGCACAGUUCAGUCAGUCCUGGCUGUCUUACCUUUGUAACAUGGCACCAAAAUCUGAGUCUGCGCCUAGAAAUUUAGCCUUAAGUUUUCGACUGCUUGAAUAUUUGUCAAAUAUAAGUGACUUACAAAAAUCUGAUAUUUAUCGCUUCAAACAAGUCCCAAUAAUUUGAGUUGUUAUCCAUGGACGCACGGUGUGUACGGGAGUCUCUGAGGAAAUCUGGCUUUAAAUGUUCAUCACUGCUUAGAUUUGUACCGCCUGCGCUGAGUUUUGAAUGAAGUGGGCGUGUCCAUUCGUCCUGAGACAGAUGACGUAAGUGUGGAUUUGUCCUGUGAAAUCUACAAACACUGUGAGCACCAGAGGGACAGAUUUGCAUUUCUUUCAAUGGCAACAUUUCAAUGACAAUAUUGCAUUUUUAAAAUCUUUAACAGAUAAGUAAUUAAAUGUCAAUUCAGAUUGUUACAAAUGGCAUUAAACUUUGAAUAAUUGAAAAUGCCCACUCAUUGUUAAUUAUUACAACAAUAAUAAUAAUAAUAGUCAUCACAAUGUUAUACAAAUCCAAAUUAUCUUGUAUUUUAUUAUCAGUUCAUUUAAUGGGAUUGAUCUAUCUAUCUAUCUAUCUAUCUAUCUAUCUAUCUAUCUAUCUAUCUAUCUAUCUAUCUAUCUAUCUAUCUAAUAAAUACAUACUCAACAGAAAAGAGGUUGCCGCUUUUGUUUUGGUAACUCAGUGCUUAACCAAUAGGCUGCUACCAUUACAUUUCCCACAGUUACUGUGUCAUUAAAAGGCACCCCGACAAGUUCAGAUAACUUGUGUUCAUAACUACGUUCAUAUGUGUUUCUCUGUUACUAUGUGAUUAUAAUGCAAUCUUUUGAAUGGAUUUCAACAUUAGAGGGUUGCUGGAGAAAGGAAGUGCUUAUUAUUAAGACGAGAAAAUGGAAAUUUAACACUCUUUUGUUUCUUUUAAUGGCGUCUCGUUGUAUAAACUUUAAUCUCCAUAAUCUUUUUGUAACCAUGGAUGUACUACCAUUUGUAGACAAUUUAUAUGCUUCAGUCAAACAGGCUCACAUCCUUGUAAUAAAAAUCUGUACCCAAGCACAAAUUACAAUUGUGAUGUAAGAACAAUAUUCUGUAUUGUUUUUUCACUGGUGUUUUACCUGUAUUUUGAAUAAUGCAAUGCGCUGUGUU